GGCGGACGGGUGAGUAAUGUCUGGGAAACUGCCUGAUGGAGGGGGAUAACUACUGGAAACGGUAGCUAAUACCGCAUAACGUCGCAAGACCAAAGAGGGGGACCUUCGGGCCUCUUGCCAUCGGAUGUGCCCAGAUGGGAUUAGCUAGUAGGUGAGGUAACGGCUCACCUAGGCGACGAUCCCUAGCUGGUCUGAGAGGAUGACCAGCCACACUGGAACUGAGACACGGUCCAGACUCCUACGGGAGGCAGCAUG
rnacentral:rRNA from 1 species